GUAACUCAGUGGUAGAGUACACGCUUGAUAAGCGCGAAGUCAGUAGUUCAAAUCUACUCG
rnacentral:ncRNA from 13 species